UCCAUGAAGUCGGAAUCGCUAGUAAUCGUGGAUCAGAAUGCCACGGUGAAUACGUUCCCGGGCCUUGUACACACCGCCCGUCACACCAUGGGAGUGAGUUGCAAAAGAAGUAGGUAGCUUAACCUUCGGGAGGGCGCUUACCACUUUGUGAUUCAUGACUGGGGUGAAGUCGUAACAAGGUAACCGUAGGGGAACCUGCGGUUGGAUCACCUCCUUACCUUAAAGAAGC
rnacentral:rRNA from 2 species